AUGGCAGAAGUAUAAACAGGAAAUGAUGUAUAUAAGAUUUGAAACUCAAACAUAUUGAAUAGGUUUAUUGGCCUGAUAAGUAUAUAGAGUGAAAUAAACAAUGUAUCAGAGUGGAUUUAAAAAAUGAUAGUAAUCCCUUGUCACACCACAGGGCGGCAGUCUAGGAUGAAAACAGAUACAGUCAAUCCACGCUGGAGAUGAUGAAACUAAAAUGAUCAAGGACUCACACACAGUGUGGUGGAUAUUUGAGGUGUGGGAUGUGCGGUGGAUUUGAUGGAGCCAUGACUCACCCAUGGCAGGUGUGGCCAGUGUUUGCCGGCCAACCAGCUGACCGGGGCCUAAACCAUCCAGGAAGUCACUGAAUUGACUGUCGGCACCCAACCGCAUACCUGAGAAGAUCAGACUGACACACACACACACACACACACACAGAAAUUAUUGAACAAUUCCUACAUCACCACUCAAAACAAAUACCAUAAAAUGCAAUUAAAGAUACAAUUAUACAUUUGGGAAAGCAAACAGUACUGUCACCCUACACUAUACUGCUUUAUGUUAUACAAUAGCACAGAGCAUGGUCACCUGCAUGGGUCUCUAGACACUUUUUAAUACUUAUUACAUGCUAAACUUUUACCUGUGCAGAGCUAAUCUGUCUGCUCUCACUCUUUUUUGUAUAUCAUUGGUUACUACCCUUGUCUGCCACAACCUGGAUGCUAUUGUCCCAUGUUUUUGUGUCUAACUGACUAAUGGGGA